AUUGAACGCUGGCGGCAUGCCUAACACAUGCAAGUCGAGCGAGAAGUGUAGCAAUACACGGAAAGCGGCGGAAGGGAGAGUAAUACGUGGGAAUCUGCCCUUAGACCUGGGAUAGCAGCGGGAAACUGCUGGUAAUACCAGAUAAUGUCUAUGGACCAAAGGUGUGAUUCCGUCUAGGGAUGAGCCCACGUCCUAUUAGCUAGUUGGUAGGGUAAUGGCCUACCAAGGCGAUGAUGGGUAGCGGGUGUGAGAGCAUGACCCGCCUCACUGGGACUGAGACACUGCCCAGACACCUACGGGUGGCUGCAGUCGAGAAUCUUCGGCAAUGGGCGCAAGCCUGACCGAGCGAUGCCGCGUGCGGGAUGAAGGCCUUCGGGUUGUAAACCGCUGUCGAGGGGGAGCAACUUCCAUAGAGUUAUCUUUAUGGAUUGAGUGAUCCCUGGAGGAAGGACGGGCUAAGUUCGUGCCAGCAGCCGCGGUAAUAC
rnacentral:rRNA from 1 species